AAAACACCCAAACAAGCCCUAAAGUUAACACUGGCCUAUGAACUAAAUGGAGCAGGCAGCAAGGUCCAGUGUUAAGAGGAUUGGAAUGGGACUUAGGAGACAUCUGGGUUCUAUUCCCCCCCUGCUACUGACCUACUGGGUGACCUUGGCCAAGUCACUUCCCCGCUGUGUGUCUGUUUCCCUUUCCACUCUUUGUCUUGUCUAUUUAGAUUGUAAACUCUUUGGGACUGUCUGUUACAAUGUGUCUAUGCGGUGCCUGGCCCAAUAGAGCCUUGAUCUCCAGAUCUAUAGGCAGUAAUACAAAUAAUAAAAACAGGAUAGGGUAAUUGUGACGGUUGGCAAGGGGGAGCUGCAUCCUUUGAGACACAUUAAUAUAAGGCUGUACAAGGAACUAGAAUUGAUGCUGUAGUGAAGGGGAGAUGGGGGAGCGAGACGGGAUGGAACAAGUCUUUUCCCUCUCUAAUUUCCAUGAUUUUGUAGCUGGUCCAGGUACACAUGGCAGGUACACAUUAGCCCCCACACAUGCUAAUACCUAGUACUUAGUGCUCUGGCACCUCUGCUUGGCUAGUUCAUGGAUGCUGUUCACAUUCUCUGAGACACUCUGUCCUGGCUCCUGAGCUAAUUGCUUAGCGAAGUUGCAACUGUUUCACUUCCAUUGGUAACCCUUUUUCCCUCCCUCUCCCCCCACACCUUCCCUCCACAGGAUGUGGCGAACUUGCUUAUUCCAGUGCCUCUUUGAUAUGUGGCACUUCCUCUUGUCCUGACUCAGGGGACCUGAGGAGAGGAACGUUGGACAGCAGCUGUGUAGCCAGCAGAACUUACUGGAUCUGUUUCAGCUCCCUGACAUAGAACAGGAGUGAACAUGGCGAGGGAGAAAGAGAGGCAGGACGGUUAGGGCUCUAGCCUAGGAGUUGGAAAACCUGGUUCCAAUCGCCUGCUCCACUACAGGCUUCCUGUGUGACCUUCGGUAAGUCACUUAGUCUCCCUGGGCCUCAGUUUCCCCACUCAGAUACUUCAGUAAUGGUACGGUGUGUGCGGGGGGGUGCAUAUAAAUAUCCAAGACAGGCAAAUAGCACCUAGAAUCCCCAGCUAAGGUCGGGGCUUUAUACAAACACAGAAUAAAGAUCUUGCCCCAAGGAGAGUACAAUAGAGUGGGAGGGGAAAUAGAAGCACAGAGGGGCGAAGUGACUUGCCCAAGGUUACGUAGCAGGUCAGUGGCCAAGCUGGGAUUAGAACGCAGGGUGAUGGGCCCUGUGGGACUUGGGACAGUUUAGCGUGGAGUUGUCACUCUUGGGGAGAGGGCUGCCUUUGAUUUUAAAUAAUAGUUCAUGGAACUGAGCUACUAAGUUAGGGCCACGUUCCCUCUAAUGGCAUCUCCUGCUCGUGUCAAUGGGAGGCUUGCACAGGCCCUUGUGGAGAAACGCCUGGGUGUCGGUGGCACUGCACAUGCAACGGACUGGAAAUUCCACGCCAGCUCCAUGGACGUUACAAAAGGGAGCUUUUCACAGAUGCGAGAAUAUGAAUGAUGCCACCCACCCAUCUGGUUCAUUUGGGCAUUCGAUGUGAUUGUCUUAGGGCCCCCAGAAGAGGGUGAGGGUCGUGGCAGCUCUCUCACCUGCCUGUAUAUUUGGAGAGAGAGAGUGUGUGUGUGUGAUGGCACCAACCAAGGCUAGUUGCUCCCCUUCUCACGCCUGGGCAAAGCCAGUGGAACAGCACUUCUGCUGCCACUGCAGGCUCCCAGGGGCUCUUGCAGGCAAGUGGUCAGGGGAGGAGAUGGAACAGUUCUUGGUGCUUCUCCUUUUUUGCCUGUAACUAUGGCCAGCAGCCUUUGUGGCUGCGCCGGAAAGGCAGAGACAGCGCAACUGAUCCUGAACUGAAAAGUUGCUUAUCCCAGUCUCCCUGGCCCCUCCUGCUUUGCCCCAGCUUCCAGAGUACUUGCUUACGUUUAGGUCCCACCUCUGCCUCUUCCCCAAGCACCGAUAGACACGCUGGCCUGUCCAUUUAACACGUUGUACAUCAGCCUCCGCUGGCACAUGUGCGCAUGCAGGCAAUGUCACCAGUUAAUAGACCACACUGCACUUAAUAGGCCACACUGCAUUGUAAAGAAGGUCACACGGGCAGCCUUUUGUCCAUAUCAACUGUCCCAUUGCUAUAGCUACCAUGUCCUCUGUUUCUGGACACACCUGUUUGUUUUUCCAGCUCCUUUCUGCUACUGUCAGAUUUCCCUACUCACCU